UACGGGGGGGGCAAGCGUUGUUCGGAAUUACUGGGCGUAAAGGGUUUGUAGGUGGCUUAUUAAGUCAGACGUGAAAUCCCUCAGCUUAACUGGGGAGCUGCGUCUGAUACUGGUUGGCUCGAGUGCAGGAGAGGAACGCGGAAUUCCAGGUGUAGCGGUGAAAUGCGUAGAUAUCUGGAGGAACACCGGUGGCGAAGGCGGCGUUCUGGACUGCAACUGACACUGAAAAACGAAAGCCAGGGGAGCAAACGGG
rnacentral:rRNA from 1 species